UGGGGAAUUUUGGACAAUGGGCGAAAGCCUGAUCCAGCAAUGCCGCGUGUGUGAAGAAGGCCUUCGGGUUGUAAAGCACUUUUGUCCGGAAAGAAAUCCUUGGCUCUAAUACAGUCGGGGGAUGACGGUACCGGAAGAAUAAGCACCGGCUAACUACGUGCCAGCAGCCGCGGUAAUACGUAGGGUGCAAGCGUUAAUCGGAAUUACUGGGCGUAAAGCGUGCGCAGGCGGUUUGCUAAGACCGAUGUGAAAUCCCCGGGCUCAACCUGGGAACUGCAUUGGUGACUGGCAGGCUAGAGUAUGGCAGAGGGGGGUAGAAUUCCACGUGUAGCAGUGAAAUGCGUAGAGAUGUGGAGGAAUACCGAUGGCGAAGGCAGCCCCCUGGCAAGUACUGACGCUCAUGCACGAAAGCGUGGGGAGCAAACNGGAUUAAUACCCUGGUAGUCCACGCCCUAAANGAUGUCAACUAGUUGUUGGGGAUUCAUUUCCUUAGUAACGUAGCUAACGCGUGAAGUUGACCGCCUGGGGAGUACGGUCGCAAGAUUAAAACUCAAGGAAUUGACGGGGUCAUGCUGUUUCCU
rnacentral:rRNA from 1 species